rnacentral:rRNA from 1 species
CGACUUGAACCUAGCGAUAGUUAGUGGCGGACGGGUGAGUAACGCGUGGGUACCUGCCUUGUACUGGGGGACAACAGUUGGAAACGACUGCUAAUACCGCAUAAGUUCGCAUGAAAAAAACUCCGGUGGUACAAGAUGGACCCGCGUCUGAUUAGCUAGUUGGUAAGGUAACGGCUUACCAAGGCGACGAUCAGUAGCCGACCUGAGAGGGUGACCGGCCACAUUGGGACUGAGACACGGCCCAAACUCAUACGGGAGGCAGCAGUGGGGAAUAUUGCACAAUGGGGGAAACCCUGAUGCAGCGACGCCGCGUGAGCGAAGAAGUAUUUCGGUAUGUAAAGCUCUAUCAGCAGGGAAGAAAAUGACGGUACCUGACUAAGAAGCACCGGCUAAAUACGUGCCAGCAGCCGCGGUAAUACGUAUGGUGCAAGCGUUAUCCGGAUUUACUGGGUGUAAAGGGAGCGUAGACGGAUGGGCAAGUCUGAUGUGAAAACCGGGGCUCAACCCCGGGACUGCAUUGGAAACUGUUCAUCUAGAGUGCUGGAGAGGUAAGUGGAAUUC